UACAGAGGGUGCGAGCGUUAAUCGGAAUUACUGGGCGUAAAGCGUGCGUAGACGGUUAUUUAAGUCGGAUGUGAAAGCCCCGGGCUCAACCUGGGAUUUGCAUUCGAGACUGAAUAGCUAGGGUGCGGUAGAGGGAAGCGGAAUUUCCGGUGUAGCGGUGAAAUGCGUAGAUAUCGGGAGGAACACCAGUGGCGAAGGCGGCGAUCUGGGAAGAUACUGACGCUGAGGUGCGAAAGCGUGGGGAGCAAACAGG
rnacentral:rRNA from 1 species